UAAUUUCAUUACAAUUUUCUCUAAUUUUAGUCCAGUUGUUUAUUUAAAAUGUUGUCUACUAAUAUUCAAAGAUCUUUUUUUCUCAAAAAACUUAUACAAUGUGAUAAAUUAAUCACCCUAAUUUUCGAGGGUUAUCCUUGUCUAAUUGAAGAAUAACUAAAAGAACUACUUCUUUUCCUAAAACAAAAGCCAAUUUCAAAGGACGGCCAAACAAGCCCUUAAUUAACCAAAAAGAAAACGAACUCUCUAUCUGUCAGAUUCUACGGACAGGAAAGCCAAAUGAGCUACACAGUUGUGAUUGUGAAGACUGAAAGUGGAAGGCAUCUGGCUCGUGAUGACGUGGCGACGGCUUGGUUGACAGACCGCACAUGACCUCGCUGACCUUCUAUUGGGCAUUGGCGUUCAUCAGCUUUUGCACAUUGCCCUAUGAUCCUUCCACGUGUCCCCGAUCAUCUUAGGGAGAAGUUUUAUCAAAAGCCUGUGCAUUCUGUCGUGAGAUCUUACUUCUCUCACCGUGCGUGUUGCUGAAAGGGGAAUUUUUAAAAUAACAGGCAAUGUACGACGACCGUGCAAUUUUUUUAGCUUUGUAAUUUUCAAGUUUGUGUGAACUCUAAACAAUAUUUUUUUUUAAUUAUAAACUAACAUUACGAUUAGAAUUUAUCAAAAAUUUAAAUCGAGAUAUACAAUGUUGUAGAUUUUGAAAUCACACCAAAAAAAUUUUAACUAUAAAACAUAUUCAAAAAAAUUUUAUAGGAGCACAAAAGUGAUUUCAGAAAUAUAUACGUCUGUUUUUUAAGUUAAAUUUUAAAGAAAAUGCUUUAAAAAGUUUUAAUUUUAAAAAUGUAUUUGUUUUAUUGUUUUCACCCUUUAUUUAAUUUAUUUCUUAAGAAUGUUUUCUCGUGUCCGUCCAAUAAAUUCUUCAACUUACUGUACAUAGAAAGAUAAUGAUUGCCACGCAUGUAGGUGAAGUCGGUGUCGCGUACGUGGCAAGAGCAGACAAACAAAGUGGAUUUCUCGUUUUUUUUAAAAAAAAUGAAGAUUCAGGUUCAAGUGGAGUUUGUGAAUCGUGAUAGUGAAUAUUCAAUCAAUCACAUCACAGCCAAUCCAAGUUGGAUGCAGCUGGGCCCGCCCGCACUUUAGUGCUCUUCUCAGGCGGUUCACCGCUCAUUCACCAACUCACCGGCGCUAUCAAUGCUAAUUGAUCAUUAUAGAUUUUAGGUACACACAUGAAUUAUAUAAUCUUGAUUGUCAAAAGGAAAAAAUUGGAAACCCUUAAGGCUACGAUUUGAAGACAGGAUUGGAUUGGAUUAGCUUUUAUGAUUAGAUUGGAUUAAAUUAUAUUAGAUUACACUAGAUUAAAUAUAGUACUUGCACUGGAUUAAAUAUAGUACUGUCUUUUGUUUGGUGCAUGUCGGAUAGAAUUAUAAUAGUGUUAUCUUAUGUUUGGCAUUUUACAGGACUGGAUAAUAAAAAUAAUAAUAAUUAAUAGAAAAAUUAAGUGAAAUGCCAUAUGCUUAAAUUUUGACAAUAACUUUUGAAUAAAAUUUGCCUUCUAUAAAGCAUAUAGAUUCACUUACUAAUUGAAAGAGAAAUGUGAGUUUUCAAUUCCUGCAACCAAGCCAACAACAAAAGAAAAAUGGAAAAAAAAGUCAAGUUUAAGAUCCGUACUUGAAGCUCCAAUUUAAUUAGAAGAUAAGAAUCAAUUUAAAUAAUAUUUUGAGUACCUUUGAUUAUUGCUCAAAUCAUCUAAAACAAUUUUUGGAGAAUCAAGAUUUGUUGAGGAAGGAAGAUGUGCAUGCUCUGCAUUUGUUUGAGAGUAAUUGUAAUUGGGUUUGCUUUCGGCUUGAUGAAAGAGAGGAGAUGAUUAUAGAUUCACUAGAUUUUUUUAUCCAAGAUCAACCCACCUAAAAAAGGGGAUUGAUAAUCCCAAGAUUAUGCAAUAAAAAAUUAGAUUUAUUUUUUAAUCUUUACAGCCAAACAUGGCUAUGGAUGAAAUUAAUAUUUUUAGUCUUGAAAAUUAGUCUUAUCCUACCUUUAUCCCAGCAGCCAAACGUAGCCUAAAAGGCCAAAAUAAGACGUAGGCUUAAGGGAGGUCCACGAUGAGCAUUGUUAUCAAACUCGAAAAUAUAUAGCCUAUAGUUUCUAUUAGUGGUAAUAUUGCCUAUGUACUUCUAUGAAAGUCAAGACCAUCUCAUUUUUAUUGAAUUAUCUUUUAGGAGUCCAACAAUGACGUCUUAAAGAAUAGUGCAUUUUAUAGUCGUAUGUUGUAAGAUUACUAUAAUAAGGUAGCCUUGAUAGAGUUUAUUAGUCUCAAAAUAAUAUGAGUAGUCUUUUGAUCUUUGGUUAAAACUAAGCGUGAGCAUUUGGUUUGAGUUAAAAGACAAAAACUAAAUAGUUCAAAAGUUGGCAAACCUAUUUGUUUGUGUUUGGUUCGGCUCAAAACCAACUCAAACUGACAAACCAAUCGCUUUGCUUCAUUUUAAAUUAUAAAAGGGAUAAAUCAUUUUCAAUUUCCUAAAUGGCUAAAUCCCUAAUCGCCACCGGCAGCAAUUCGGCCUCUCUCUCUCUCUCUCUCAAUUAACUGUGGCACAACAGCUUCUCACAGUGACACUGACAACAUGAUGCCUUCAUGAAGAGCCCUUCACACAUGUCAACCUUGAUACGACUCAAAGAUAUUUAAUUUACUCUCAAGUAUAAAAGCACCUAAUUAUAGUGAGCCGAGAUCGAUUCACAAAGAAAAAAUUUAUUUUUUUUUAUUUUAGUUUAUCUAAAAAAAUUAAAAUAAAAUUUAAAGAUAUGCAACUUAAUUUAAGUAAAGCUACGAAAUUAAAUUAGUUAGGGUUAUGGAUCCACUCUUAAUAGUAAAUACAAUUUAAUAAAUUCUUUUUGUUUUUAUUUUAUUGACCAAAUGAUUAAUUGUAUAGAUUACAAUUAUUUUUCCAAUAAUUUUAUUAUGGAUUAAGUAUUUAGUGUGCAAAAAUUUAACUUGUCUACAAUAAGUCAAAAUAUCAUUUUACCAUACUUUAUACUAAGAUAUUAAGAAUUCAUUGUGUCAAACCUCAUGUUUGUCUACAAUAAAUCAAAAUUUCAAAAUAUAAAUAUGGACAAAAUUAGAUGAAAAAUAAUUUAAUUUAUAUAAUUAAAAUAAAAUUCGAUUAAAUCAUUUUUUUAACUAAGAGUUUCACAUUCUCCUAACUAUUAGUAUUUAGCUAAGUAUAAUUGGAAUAAAAGUAAUUAUUAAAAUUAAAAAAAGGUAUUUGAAAUUGAAAAUAAAACUAAUUCUGUUUAUUGAAAAUAUAUUACAAAGAGAGAUGAGAAGAAGAAUUUGAGGGAAAAGAAGCGAAGAAAAUGUGUAGAUAGAUGUGUUCUCCCUUCUCUAUUUAUACUUAUAUAUGAUUAAUCUACACCACACAAAUAAAUAAAACUAAUUACAUUUUAAAUAUACAUUUGUCCCACUAACAAAACAUAAAUCUAACUUAAGUCAUGCAAGCACACGCAACACAUUCUACUAACAAUUAUCACACAUAACAUGGUAAAAACUUAUAAUUUCACAAUUACUACAUUUGUUGUGAUAAAACUUAUAAUUUUACAACAAAAGUCGUGGAUCCUCAUCGGUAAUGACCUAACUUUUCGGACUUCCAAAAUCUAAAUUUGACAUCUAUACACUUGUUUGGAGCAUCAACUUGCGUGAAAUUGUUAUUUUUACCUAGUAAAUAUACAACAAUACACAAAAUUAAAUAUUUAGAAAAAUAAUUAGAAAUUAACAAUAUGUUACAUAAUUACAAAUGUAAAAUAUAAUAUAAGCACAAAAUAACAUUUUUAUUUAUUAAUGAACAUACAAUUUUUAACAUUAAUCAAACCUAUUUAAGAGCUGUUGUCUCAUUCAUAAUCUCAAUCUCUCUAAUCUCAGCCCACUAAUCUGCCAUCAGCAACCCCGGUCGCCCGCCAUCAUCUUCACCACUUGUCUCACACUCAUCACUUAUGGUCUUGCUCUCUUUAGACUCAGCACCCAUCACUCAUCUUUGCCAGCACACAUCACUUAUCUUCGCUGGCCGUUUCAGUUUCAAUUCCGCCGUUGCUGUCGUGCAAGUGAAAGUGAGCAUCACUAAUUCAGUUUCACUCACUCUGAGCACCUAACAGCAAGCCAUUAAUUGCCAACUAGUAUCAAUUUUAUUUUAAUUCAAUUUCACCUCAUUUAUUGUUUGAUUAAUUCAAAUUUUUGUAAAUAAAAAAUGAGUUGAAAACAUAUCUGAUUUGAUUGUCAAAUUAUUAUCAGUUGGAUUUGAUUUUUGUUAAAUUAUGAUCUAUAUGUUUGGUUUGAUUUGCUCAUGCAUCGGUUGGUUUGACUUUGUAAUUUGUAAUUGAUAAUUUGAUAUUUGAUUGGGAAAAAUACUAUCAAAUAAAUUAAGUAAAAUUACUAUAUAUAUAUAUAUAUAUAUAUAUAUAUAUUGUUAUAUUAUUUAAGAUCAUGUUUACUUAUAUAUAGUGUUACCAUGUGUAUAGAGUGUAAAUGCUACUUGCCAGUUAGUAUAGGUGUAAACUAUAAAGUUGAGUAAAAUCAUGUGAAAAUUAUAAAAUUCAGUAAAAUUAGGUUAAAAAUGUAAAAUUAAAUUGUAAUUAAAAUUUCGGUUUGAUUCGGUUAUGUUCUAAAAUUUUGUUAUAAUUCAGUUCAAGUUCCUGAGAACCAUUUGAUUUUAGUUCGGUUCGAUUAUGGCCACGAACUGAUUCUAACCGGGAAACGCACACCCCUAGUUAAAACGUAAUAAAACUUAAUAAAAUUUGAUCAUCUAAUGAUAUAUAUGUUGUAGGAUUAUUUAGCACCUAUAGAGUAUCGUAUUCAUUAUCUUAUUUUAGCCUUUAGAGUUAUGCAAUAUUUUUUUUGCAAGUAAUUAAUACCUAUUGAUAAAAGUAGAAUUUGCCCCUUUUUCUAUCAAUUACAUGAAGCUUGCUCACUCUAAGCCCAUGCUUCUUUGCUCAGCCUACCCUCCCAUUUUGCAGGAGACUCACAUCUAAUGUGACGAUCAUUUAAUAAUAACAUGCACAACACGAGUUCUCAAAAGUCUCUGGUCUAUAUGCAAAUAACAACUUUUAUGUGGAUGUUUUGAUAUCGCUUGUCAUGCAUCAAGAACUUACCAUCAACUCAAAAGACUAUAUUAUUGUAAAAAGUUACUGUUGAUGUCAAUAACGAUUUUAACAACUGAAUUUGUUUUUUUGAGGGCAACAACACAAACUGAAACUUAAUCGUUGAUCUAAUUGCAACUUCUCUCACCUGCCAACCACAAAACACAAUUAAGAUUUGUUAGUGUGGAUGCUAGCAUAGAUCUUUUGAUGCCUGAAUAAGUUAUUUAGCAUAUAAAAGGAGAAAAUAGACUGAAAAAACUAGAAAUAAUGUUGGAAUUCAAUGAAUUUUCGGUGUAGUAGUUGAAGAUCAUGUAAAAGGUAAAAUGGUUGAAUAGAUGAUAACUUGUAAAAAUUUAUAGUUGAUUUCGCUGACCCCCUCAUCUGAUGCUCUUUUUUGUUUAAAUAAGUCCUUAGUUGUGGGUAGUUGCCUCCAUUUCACCACGCUUACCAACAGUUAAUGGUAGUUAUCUAUUAGUUGAGGGUAAUUAAAGAAAGUAGUGGCACAUAACUUCCUUAGAAAAUAUGUCACGUUUAUCCAACCUAAACACCCGUUCUCUAGUUUUCAAUAUUGGGAAGUUAUUACCGGUAUUAAAAACUAAUUGUCAAAAAAUAAAAAAUUUUAGCAAAUCCAAUAAUUAUUUACUCGAAUUUAGAUAUUCUACCAAGUUAAGUUAUGUUAACUUUUUUAUAAUCUUUUAUUACAAAAGCAUUUAAAAUGGUAUACGAUUAUAAUUUAAAGAUAUAUACUUAUUCAAUAAGUAACAACAAAUCUCAACUCGACAUUGAAUCGAAGUUCUGUUUAUCCAAUAUUGAGUUCAAAAUCAAUCCUAUUAUUUUUUGUGCCUAGUCAUUACCAAGCAAUUAGAUUCUAAAAUUGGUUUGACAUGUGUAUACACCUGCCAAUUAAGUUCUCUUGCUUUCUUUCGGCGAUGCGAGUAAAAGUAUCUUUGAUGCCUAUUUCACCAUCAUGUGUUGUUAUUAUUAAUGAGCCUAAUCAAACGGUUAGUGGUUGAUUGGUGAAGUUUCUUUAAAAUGACUUAUCGUUUUAACAGACAGCAUCCUGUACAUUUGCUUUGCGUUUCUGAAAACAUGUUUCUAAAAUAGGAAAAAGUUUAUUUGCUUUGAAUUUCAUAACAUUUAUUUUAAAAUUAGCUGUGAAGUAGAGGAUUUGAGAAGUUGAGACUUGAGAGUUUAUGAUUAAUGAGUUUGAUCUA
rnacentral:lncRNA from 1 species